ACAGUAUUUGUGUGCCUGCUAUCUCUGUGCCAGCGGUUUGUCCUGGCUGGCCGUCGGGCAGGAUGGAGAGGGCUUCGGGUGAGGCUGUCAGCAAGGCAGAGAUUUCAAACACUGCAGCAAGUGCCUCUUGGGUUAGCGGAAAUGGAGUCGGAAUUGGGUGUGACACAGGUCAAAAGAAAAGCUGGGAAACGAGAAGCAUUUCUUACCACAUCGAGUUAUGACCGUUAAAUCCAAAUAUAAUAAAGUUAGCAAAGCGGCGCUUGUGUCCCAGUGCACCCCCUGGUAGACCUGUCUCGAAGCCCUGGCGUCUCCUGCCAAGGAGCGUGAAGAAUGACUGAAGCAUUAAAGAAGGACGUGGACUGGAAUUUGGAUCACCCCGUGGUAGUCUAUUGACAGUGGUCACUAUGGCAUGAAGACCCAGGGAGGGACCAGACUUC